GUAGAUUAGUAGCUGAAGAAUGUUGAUUCAAAUGGUGUUGUUUGCUGUUUUAGCUAAUUUUUAAUACUGUUUAUCAUAAUCUUGGAUAAAUUAGAGAAUAAAUACUUUGCAAGUAUAAUCUCAAUCUAAAAUUUGUUUAAAGAAACUUAUUUAAGUUUAGGAUGCUUGACCACCAUUUUUUUCCUAUACUAUAGCUUCUUUUCGUCUCUACGUUGUAGGUACAUAUAUUCAUGUAUCUUGUUAUUUAGAUUC
rnacentral:lncRNA from 1 species